CUUGCAAUUUCCACCGUAAAUAUUUAUAAUAUACGCGUCGCGCAAGCGAUGAUGAUUCUGAAAUCUUUGUGGAAUAGACGUUUUGGACUGGGGGGCGGUACCCCACAGCUCCACCAAUUUUAUUUCGAUUUCAGAAAAUCAUUGUGGUUGUUUGACCGCAGUGGUUGAACGUCGGGGGGCUGACAUAGUUUCGACAGGCGCAGUAAAGACAAAAGAUUGAAUCCGACAUGGCGUCGUUAAAAGCCGAUUAAAAACUGAAUGGCGAUAGAAUCGCUGCGAACGACAAUGUUCGCCUUGCAAUGGCUGCCUAAUAUGGCAUCGGAUAUGAUUGGCAAUUGUUGAUUGUAUCCAUUUCGCUUAUUGCGGGGUUGGUCGGGUACCUGGCACCAGAAACCC
rnacentral:tmRNA from 1 species